UUCGAUUCUGUAUAAAAAGUUGUUGUUGUUGGAAAGCUUUCGAACAGGGAUGUCAAAGCGUAGAAGUUUAUCAAAUUCGCUACGUUUUUUUUCAAUUCCGCUUCCAUUUUUAGGCAAAUCAUCAAAAAUGUCUUACAAAAGGUAUCUAUUCUCAAAAUUUCGCUUCGUUAUAUGACCUUAUUAUGUUAUUACAGGGAUAUUGUUCGUACAAUUGCUGCAUUCAGGUGAUUCACAUAAUCAGCAUUUAUCACAGCCGGAAGAAGCCAUCGAUUCUGUUCGAAAAGGGCUAAAGCCUGAAAAAUGAUUAACAACAUGUUGCAGUAGCAGUGAUGGUUUAUCGUUAACGCCUCGUAGGCUGUUCCUGAAAGUUGAACGAAUGCAUCGGAAGGUCCGAGGUAUAGUCAACAUUUUUAUUUGCACUUGAGAGCUUGACGGCUUAAUUUACUCUGAUAAAAAUGAAGCUCUUAAGGACAGUAGACGAUUUUUCUUCAAAGCCCGUAUCGGACAGGAUGUUCAGCAGAAGAUGCGCCGCAGGCAUACACUUUUUUAUAUGUUCCUCGAACAUAAUACAUCACAACGAGCAGCAACGUGGUCGCUACCGCCAAAGUAUUAGUCAAAGAAUAUAAGGGAAAAUCUCUUCAAAAAUCCAGCUAUCCGGAAGACAGCUGGAGCUUGAAACCAAAGGAUUGAUUUAUCCACCGGCAUAAUGGAACAGGUACACCCAUCCGAAAUCACUUCAGUGUGUCAAUCGAGAGAUUGCCAGUAGAACCUGUUGAAUGCCA